GACGAACGCUGGCGGCGCGCCUAACACAUGCAAGUCGAACGGAUCUGAGAGAAGCUUGCUUUUCUUAGCUUAGUGGCGAACGGGUGAGUAACGCGUGAGUAACCUGCCCUGGAGUGGGGGACAACAGUUGGAAACGACUGCUAAUACCGCAUAAGCCCACGAUCCGGCAUCGGAUUGAGGGAAAAGGAUUUAUUCGCUUCAGGAUGGACUCGCGUCCAAUUAGCUAGUUGGGGAGGUAACGGCCCACCAAGGCGACGAUUGGUAGCCGGACUGAGAGGUUGAACGGCCACAUUGGGACUGAGACACGGCCCAGAAUCCUACGGGAGGCAGCAGUGGGGGAUAUUGCACAAUGGGGGAAACCCUGAUGCAGCGACGCCGCGUGGAGGAAGAAGGUUUUCGGAUUGUAAACUCCUGUCGUUAGGGACGAUAAUGACGGUACCUAACAAGAAAGCACCGGCUAACUACGUG
rnacentral:rRNA from 1 species